CCUUUUACUGAGGAAAAUCCCGAAAUAGAUUUAUCCGGUCCGAGCAGGACUGUAAAAGGUUUCCGUGGAUGAGAACAUUCCAGGAGCCGUGGGAAAAAGGAGGAUAACGCGGUUCUGGGGCGGGAGGGCACCGGACGCACGGUGCCUCCUGGGAGUUGUAGUCCGCUCGGUUGACCUGGCCUCCGCCGGAGCCGUUGCGCAGCACGCAGUGGUCUUGAGAGCAGAUUCCCAGCGUCGGGUGCUGCGUUAAGCCUGUGCUGAUCAGCUGGAGCUGGGAAGCCGAAGGCCAGCGAGGCAGGACGCUGCCAUCACUCCCAGCGCUCCCAUCGGAGGACUGCGUGUUCCUGGGGUUACGCAAGAACGGGCAGCGGGUGCCCCCAGCCCCUCGCUGCCGCCGUGGGCACCAAUCCCCCGUCUCCAGUCACAGCCUCGGCGUCCCCACGGGAAACGGGAACCCUUGGGAAAGCAGAAGUGUGGCUCGAAUGAGGAUUAAGCUAUUUUUAGCAGCUGCCUUGUGCCCUGUCCGGGCUCCAGCUGGGAUGUUUAAUUCUAUCUGGGACGACUCCUGCAGUUGCACCAGGAUUGAUACAAGGAUUUCCUUUUAAACCUUGAAUCUGUUGUAUUUUUGGCUUAGUUGAUAAUGUGUUUGUUACAAAACCCCCUUUUUUUCCCCCCACAUCUACAACAGCUGGAAAAUCCAGCAGUAAAAUAAUACAAACAUUGCUGUAUAAUAAAAGAAGUUGCAGAACUUUU